UAGAAGGAGUCUUAAACCGUAGAAAGUGAAAGUAAAGGUGGGAGAAUGUCUGCGACACUGCACCAGAGCAGACGAUCAACGCCAUAGCAAGGUAGGAUCACUCUAUUUCUAUCUACUAAUAGUGUUACUAAUAUCACUAUUCUGGAUUUGUGUCUGUCAAAUGUAACGACUCCACCACCAGUUGGACUUUAAUGGCAGCGGCCACACAACGAGAAGUGUCUUAUUGAACAGGCUUCUGGAGUGAUUUGUAGGAGGUGUCUGAGGUCUGCAGAGUCGUAUGCUGGACAAGAGUGGACCAGAAUGAAUAAAAGCUCCUUCUUCCCUAGUGUGAGUUUGGAUGGUAACGGUGGCAGCAUGACAUCAUGGAUAUACGCGACUCACCUAUUUCUUUUCGUUUUCCUGAGCACGAUCGGCCUAUCAGAGGAGGGCUGUGAUGAAUAUUUUCAAAUGAAGGACUGGGGAGGAAAGCUGAAUGAAACGUUUGGCCUCGUGAGAACUAAGGAUUCCAAGUACACAAUGGAAUGUACUGCGGAGAAUGAGUGCCUGAACAACAGCAACUUAGGAUGUAAUUUGCUACAUCAAUGCUUUUUGCGGAAAGAUGAUUUAAAUAAUACGAAGAGUGAAAAGUGUAAAGGGGAAAUUUCUCACAAUGUCCAUUACUAUCACUUCAUGUGCUUGACGGCCCAAGCUAUCAACCGCACUUACGAAGGCUGCGAAUACGAAAACGAAUGCAAGACCUAUUCAGAAAUAGUAUCCACUGUUGUUGAUCAGACAAAAACAUUGCCCCCACCAACAACAACAACAACAACAACAACAACACUGCCUCCAACAACAACAUCAACAACAUUGCCACCAUCAACAACAUUGCCACCAACAACAACACUGCCUCCAACAACAACAACAAUAACAACAACAGUAUUGUCACCAUCAAUAGCAGCAUCGCCACCAACAGCAACAACAGCAACACUCGCACAGAGCGCAGUUAGCCGAAUAAAUGCCGAGACCUUAACCCUGAAGAUGUUAUUAGUGCUGUCUGUGGUCGUCAAUGUGAUCUCUCUGGCUGUUUACCUGUACAAGCGCCAAACGUGGAGACAGGAGAGGAUACAGUGGGCAGACACACCGCUGCCCUCUACAAAAGGGGAGGUAGAGACCACAUAUUUAAUGAAGCCUUUUGGGUGUAACUCCGUCCUCACAUAUUCAAUUGAUGAUGAUGAUAGGAAAAGUGUUGCUGUUGAAGAGGACAAGCAGCAUUAAAGACCCUACUCACCGUAGAUCUUAAUGAAACACAGCUGUGGGAUGUGACAAAUGCCAGUGAAGGGCAAUAGUUUGCAAAUACCUUGGGCCCCAGACUGAAAGUGAACAAGCUGCAACAUGCCUGCUGCUACAUGCCUGCUGCAACAUGCCUGCUGUCUCAGCCGCGGAAGGUAUUGCCCCAGCACUAAGUGUAAGGGAAUUGAAGUGCAGCAGGACUGUAUAGAGUCUAAUUGACUGAGCUACUUGUCUGGACUAAAUUUGAAGAAUUUGUACCCCUGUGACCAAACAGAAACACAUUGAGAUAUUCACAGGAGAGGGAGUUUGUUUUACCACAGACAAGAGAGAGGGCCAAAGGUUAAAACACCGCAAUGAAAUAUUUGCCGUCAAACCCAAUUCGUCUAAUGGGUAUUAUAAUCAAAAUAAAGAAACUAGUACAGGCCUUUUGUUAGAUAGACAGGUCAUGACAAUAUUAAUAAUAAUCUUUAUUUGUAUAUACAAGAAUUGCAGCCCAAAGUGCUUCACAGCAAAAACAUAACAAUUAGUACAAGAUUAGACAGAAUAAGAGCAUUUACUAUAUGAACUAUAACAAAGCUGAUAAGCCGAAUACUACUAAAGUUAUCGAAUGUUUGCUUCUGAGAAUAAAUACACAGGCAACACUGUUUUUACCAACCAGGACACGUAAUACCUGACCGACACAUAUAUUUCACAGUAUGUAGGGCCUUGUGAAUGUGCAUGCAGCUUUUGUGUUACCUAACUUCACUAUACAGUUUGAAUCUAGUAAUAACAUUACAGCUUUAAUGUCUCCAUUGAUAAAGUAUUUUUACUCACUCCUUCAAUCCAGUCCAACCGUCCAAAGCCGUUAGAGAAAUAAUGCAUGUGACGCAAACUGCACAUUUUGUGGGACGAUGGCUCAGUGAGCCUUUUGCAGCUUUUUGGUGUUUUAAAAUGUCGCCUGAUUUUCUUUAUGUAACAGUCAGACAGAGCAGCAGACAAAGUUCUCUGGGCAUUAGAAACAAAAAAAAGUUUAUUUAUUUGUUUGUUUUGUUGUUUUUUGUUUAGUUUGAUUGUGAUGAAGAUGAAGCUGAAAUGCUGGUCGUGCGCCAAAGAAAGAACAUUUGAAAUGCAUCUAUAUGUGAGCUGCCCAGAGAUUUAUAUUUAUUAUAAUAAAAUGUUAUAAUAACGCAGUCUGAUCCACAGCAUUUUGACCAAUCUUUCAUAAACUGUAAAAACAACCUGACGUUUAUGUGAAAAGUUAUUUAAAACGUAGUUAUUCUGGAUAGGUUCUCCCUCAGACGAGCUUCACAAAUAGAAGCUCUUUGUGUUUAAUGUCAAAUAAACUGUCCACUUAAACAUAUAUAUUCUUUGGACAUGUUACAAAUGGCUCUCAAACAAAUGCAUAUCUAAUACAAAUGAUUUAUGUCAUUUUCUUUUCUGCCAUCCAGAACAAAUGUCAAUAUCUUAUCAGUUGAUAACAUAGAAAUAUCAUUUCAUAAUCAUAACAUACCACCCAUCUGCCUCUCAUAAAUUUGGCAUUUAGCAAGUGUUGUGCUUUGCUUGUAUAUUUUUUAUUAAGUCAUCCAGUUUAUUUAUGGAGCUUUUAACAGACUGAAGAAGAUUGUCCCAGUGUGUCUGCAUGUGUGUAUGUAGGUGAGGUUUUAAUACACGCAGCCAGGAUGAAAGUACUUGUGCAUACAGCUUAGUGUUUAAUAAUAACAGACUGAAGUAUGAGAAAUGUGAGGAGGCGGAAAGAAUGUCACUGGUUGAGAUAAUUACUAAAUUACUUUUGUUUUUCACUCACUUCAGUUAAAGCUGGCCCGUUAGUUCGCUGAGGUUCAGCUCCUCGCUUGUAGUUGUUCCAUGAGACCAGCAGUAGUUGCAUUACAUUAAAGGUCUACAUUAAAAUAAAAAAUGUUCUACUGAUUAAAAGUUAACUCUCGAAAACAAAAGAUCGUUGAGUAUUCAUCAUUUUGGCAGCAUGUUUCAGAGAUAAAGUGGAGUGUGCUCAAUCCUGUUAUGAAAAGCAAACGAAACAUCUAAGUGAUGCCAGGUCUGUUUGUAUUAUUUAACUCCUUUGGUACUUUUUGCAUUGUAUGUUUGUAUUGUAAAAUGUAUUGUGAAAAUGGGAAGAAAUGUAUUCUUACUGACUGUACAAUGUGUUUUGUGUAUAAUUGUUAUGUGUUUAUAGCUGACCAAAGUUCUACACAUAACAGCUUUAAUAUGUGCAUACAUCAUGACAUACCUUAACAAAUAAAGUCAUAAUAAUCUGAUU
ensembl:lncRNA